CCCCUCUCAGGGUCACACCUGGAGAGUUUCCAGUAUUCUACCAAUCUUGGGUAAGGGAGGAAGAGUCAAGCAGAGGCCUAUCCAUUCCAUUCGUAGCUUGGGCAACGGCUAGCAAGUGGAAGGCAAUCUGCUACAAGU